rnacentral:lncRNA from 1 species
UUGACUUUAACGCAAUCAAGCCUCUUUUUUUUCCGUCUCUCACUCUCUUUCUCUCCAGUCUCCAAGCGUCUGCCUCUCUCUCUCUCACACCAAAUUGGAUUGGGAAUCGAUGUCUUCUCACAAAAUUACCGGUGUUCUUCAGUCCUAGUGUGGAUUUUUGGCUAGAAAGUCCACGGUGUUCUUCAGUUUAUUUGCAAUUUGUCUUUCAUCUUCUCCCAUUUCGAUUUUGUAUAACCAGGUAUUUUUGUAUUUUGUAAAUUACAUGUGGGUUUUCACUUUAUUUUUGUGUUGUUUUGGAUAUUCUCUGUUGGAUUUGAGGUUUCUCUAUGUAUUUGUAGUUUUUUGGUUGAUUUGGGGUUUCUAUGUUGAUUAUAUGCAAUUUAUUAGCUUGAUUUCUCAAUAAACCUAGACUUUUCUGGCAUGCAAUCUUUUUUAUUGCCUCAAUAGUACUUUAAGAAUACAUUACUACUUCGUCGCUUCUUUCAUGUGGCAUGCAAUCUUCUUUAUUGCCUCAAUAACACUUUAAGAAUACAUUACUACUUCGUCGCUUCUUUCAUGUUCUGUCGCUGUGUUUUUUCAGUUUUGGUUAGUUUUUUCUCCAUUAUUUCUUUAAUUGCUGCACUGGUAUGCCUAAUUUUUGCUUAGAGAAGACAACAAAAUAAAUGUAAGCAGAUAGUGACACAUUCCUACUUGUUCUGCAUAUUCAAGCUCUGUUAUGGUACCAAAAAAAAAGAAGAAGAAAUUAUGUUAGUAGUCUAGUUGAAGGCAUCAGUAGUCUAGUUGAAGGCGUCAAUCAACUUAGUAACAGUUAAGUUACAAAAAGAUGUUACAAAUACUUGCUGUUCUUAAUCUAUAAUUCUAUUCUAACUAAAUUUUAUUUUAAGAGUUCAAUGAUUCAUAACUGGCAUACUACACAGGGUCACAGACAUCUGUUCUGGUUUGAUGCAAUUCUCUGUUGUUGCAAUGGCGAUCUUAAUUGUCCAUCGAGUCCUUGUAGCCACUGAUUUAGUAGUGGUAGAUGAGGUCUGUGUACAUAUGUGCUGUCAUGUUCAGGGAAUGAAGCAUGGCUUCUCCUUGUUUGUUGAAUUUGAACACACAUAAUCCUCCAUUAUUUAUAUCCACAGAACGAAACCUGAAUCAAUAUAAAAUUAGACCUGUCAACAAUAGUGGCUGAAGAAAUUACACAUAAUCCUCCAUUAUUUAUAUCUACUGAACGAAACCUGAAUCAAUAUAAAAUUAGACCUGUCAAUAAUAGUGGCUGAAGAAACCAUCUUUUAUAUGUACUACAAUUUAAUUGUAAGAAUAGAUUAAAGAAUACAUGUAAUUUUCAUAGUGACGAAAGAAAGUUUUGGUAUACGCUUGGGUUGAUUUUAAUAUCUGUAGGAACAUUUGGCUUGGCAGCUGUUAAAACUAAAGGGUUAUUUUAAUUUUCUGUGCGGAAUAUCAUUAGAGUUAAUCGUAUAGGGGAUAUGGGAAUAAGAUAACAAGACUCUUUUCAAUAUUUUUGUUCUAUGGUCCAGUAAAGGUAUUUCAUAAUUAGAUGUAUGAGUUCUGUUAUAAGUGUUGAAAGGCCAAAUCUCAUUUCUGUUUUGAAAAUCAUAAUUUGUAUAACUUUUACACAUUUAAAUCAAGUGUUGGAAGGCCAGAUCUCAUCUCUGUUUUGGAAAUUAUAACUUGUAUAACUUUUACACAUUUAAAUAUACAUUCCAUCUACUCAUUCUCUUAUAACUAGCUACUUGAGUACUACAUCUUAACUGAAGAAAAGCUAUUGCAUGUGGUAUGUUACUUAGAAGGUGACCAAUUUUCAAUUCUCAUCUGGAUAAUAUCACAACUUCUUCUGUUUACUUUUGUUGGUUAGCUUUUGGUUUCCUUUACUUUUUGUUGUCUUAUGAAGUGUUAAAUAUGUCUCUAAUCUUAUAGCUUUGAAAAUUUUGUAGGUGAUAUUGUUUCCCACUAAUCUAUUUUUUCAAGGGAUAAGUCUUGGAUUAGAAUGUCGAGGCACACACCAGAAUAUUUACUUGGUUUGAAUCAAUUUAAAAAUUUUGCAUUUAGUAAUGGAGCUUGGAUUAGAAUGUCGAGGCACACACCAGAAUAUUUACUUGGUUUGAAUCAAUUUAUAGAGUUUGCACUUAAUAAUGCAGCUACAAGAGAUAGUAUAGAAUGUCCAUGUCCUAAAUAUGGUUUUAGAAACUGGCAGACUAAAGAUAUAGUAUUUGACCAUUUGGUCUGCAAACCAUUCCCUCAAAAGUAUGUCACUUGGGUUAUGCAUGGGAAAAUGGAUGUGGGGCACAGUUCUAACAACAUAGAGGUUACCCAUGAUACAGUACCUCUUGAAAAUCCUAUAGAAUUAUUGAUUAAUGAAGCAUUUGGUGGCUUAAGACAUGAGAGUAUUAAUGUGGGUCCAUCACAAACCGUGGGAGAAGAAGAAAUGUUAAACAGAAUGCCAACUUCAUACAACAAAGACUUUUUUGACUUGCUUAGAGAUGAAAAUCAAGAACUGUACGAAGGGUCCAAAUAUUCAAAGUUAGAGUUUUUGUUAAAGUUAUAUCACAUAAAGUGCUUGUCUGGGCUGAGUGACAAGGGGAUGACUAUGAUACUAGAUCUACUUAAGGGUGCAUUUAACUUUGAAAAAAUGCCUAAUUCUUUUAUGAGGCCAAGAAUACCAUAAAUAAGUUGUCCCUUGAUUAUGUUAAGAUUGAUAUUGCAAAAAUCCCUAAUUCUUUUUAUGAGGCCAAGAAUACCAUAAAUAAGUUGUGUCUUGAUUAUGUUAAGAUCGAUGCUUGUCUGAAUGACUGCAUGUUGUACUGGGAAGAUGAUAUUGAUGUGGAAACAUGCAAGUAUUGUCACACUUCUAGGUGGAACCCUGAUAAGAAAAGCAAUAAAAAUGUUGUGUCUGCUUUAGGUAUAGAGAAGCAGUCUGCUACAACUAAGAAGCAAAAGAAGAAGCUUGCAAAAGUUUUGCGUUACUUCCCAUUAGUGUUUUGACGGGAAAUAAGACUAUGAUGAAUGUCACGUUUUCAUUGCUUUUGUCUUGCAUUUGCUUCUUUGAAGCUUUGAUCUUUCCUUUAAAUCUUGCUUGAUUUUCCACACGUAUCUAUUUAUAUUAUAUAGUCCCCCAAGUGUUUGAACGUUGAAGUAUGAGAUCUCGAGCACUUGUUAAUUUCUUGCACUUAGUCCUUUUCCUGAAAAGGAAAAACAUGCGGGACUCGGGGAUGCGAUUUUAGAUAAAGACUGCUUAACUCGUUUGUGUUUCUAUCAGAAUAAUUCUAACCCUGGGCCAAUAAUUUUAGUGUAUUCCAUUUUAUCGUACAGGUCAUAACUCAUCAUUUAAUACGGAUUAGCGUUUUGCCUAGCAUCUAAAAUCGUUAGUAAAACUUUAAUAAUUCAAAAAUAAAAUUUAACAUGGUGAUACCUGACCGUGGGUAUUUCCUUAGAAGUAAUAUUUCUUCAAAUUAAUGGCAUUCCAGUGUGAAGGUAGAAUUUUCCCAUCAAUUAUCUCCAAUUCGUAUGCUCCUUUUCCUGCAAUAUCUCGAACUCUGUAUGGUCAUUCCCAUAUUGGACUUAGUUUUCCCGAAUUAGCACAAAGGUAAGACUUUCCCAUCCAUUAUCUCUAACUUGUAUGCUCCUUUUCCUGCAAUAUCUCGAAUCUGUUAGGGCCCUUCCAUGUUGGACUUAGCUUUCCUGAGUUAACAGCUUUUGUAGACUGAAAAAACCUUUUUAAGCACAAAGUACCCAAUUUUGAAGAAUCUGAGGCGCGUUUUUCGGUUGUAAUACCGUUUAAUGACCUGCUUUUAUGCUACCAUUCUUAUUAAUGCAGCUUUUCUCCUUCCCUUGAGUAAAUCAAGGUUAACUCGCAUCUCUUCAUUAUUCGAUUCUUUUGUUGUCCGUAUAAACCGUGUGCUUGGUUCUCCUAUCUUGACUGGAAUCAAAGCUUCAGCACCAUAAACCAAUGAAAAUGGUAUUUCUCUCGUGCUCGUAUUUAUAGUUGUAUGAUAAGCCCACAGAACCGCAGGUAAUACCUCAGACAAGUUACCUUUUGAUUCUUGUAACCGCUUCUUUAAAUUAGUGAUAAUGACCUUGUGUGUGGAUUCCGCUUGCCCAUUACCUACUGGAUGGUAUGGUGUGGAUGUUACCCUUUUGAUUUGCCAACUUUAAAAAAACUCUGUGAUUUGGGCUCUUAUGAAUUGUGGUCCAUUAUCACAUACAAUCUCCUUUGGUACUCCAAAAAGGCAUAUUAUGUUCCUCCAAAUGAAGUCUUUAACUUCUUUUUCUCGUACCUGUUUAAACGCUCCUGCUUCUACCCAUUUAGUGAAUUAAUCAGUGAGUACAAGUAGAAACUUUACCUAAACUUUUGCUUGUGGUAAUGGACCCACGAUAUCGAUUUCCCAUUUAAUAAAGGGCCACGAGGAUAUGACUGGAUGCAAUAGCUCCACUAGUCUAUGCAUAUUAUUACCGUACCUAUGACAUUUGUCGCAUUUAGAUACAAAAUUUUCUGCUUCUUCCUCCAUCUUAGGCCAAUAAUAUCCUGCCCUAAUUAAAGUUCUUACCAGCGAUCUUCCUCCUGCAUGAUUCCCGCAAUGUCCCUCAUGUAUUUCUCUCAUUACAUAUUCCAUUUGGGAAGGUUCGAGACAUCUUGCUAAAGGUCCACCAAAUAUUUUUCGAUAAAUUUUCCUUGGUUUAAACAGUAACAUGCAGUCUUUUUACGAAGCGCAUGUGCUUUCCUUUAGUCAUCAGAUACGGUACCGUACUGCAAAAAAUAAGAAUUUUGUUUCUCCAAUCCCGCGUUAAAUUAUUGAAAUUUACUCGUUCUUAUCAGGUUCGAGAACUGAAUGAAAUAAAUGUAUAACUGAAUCAUUUGCAUCGUUUGCCACGUCAGCUGCAGACGCGAGAUUGGCUAAAGCAUCUGAUUCAAUAUUUUCAUCUCUUGGUAUUUGUACAACCUUUUAGUUUUGAAAUUGUUUUAUCAAUUCAUGUACUCUUUCUAAGUAUUGUCGCAUUCUUACUUCCCUAACUGUGUAAGUCCCCAGCAUUUGAUUAACCAUGAGUUGUGAAUAACUUUUGAUUAUAUUUUGGGUUAUGUCGAAUUCUCGUGCCAGUUCUAAACCUGCAAUCGCAGCUUCAUAUUGUGCUUCAUUAUUAGUUAUUGAAUGACAUUUUGUAGCUUGUCUAAUGGUUUCACCCGUAAGUGGUACAAGAACGAUUCCUAAACCUGCGCCUUUUACAUUAGAUGAACCGUCAGUAAAUAAAAUCCAAGUCCCCGGGUUUGCACCAUUGAAAACUUGUAACUCAUUUUGCGCUUCUAAUUGCAUCCCUUGGCUAAAAUCAGCCACGAAAUCAGCUAAUACUUGAGAUUUUAUUGCAGAUCUAGGUCGAUAAGUGAUUUCGUACUCACUUAAUUAAAUAGCCCAUUUUUCUAACCUCCUUGAUAAUUCAUGCUUAUGCAAAAUGUUACGUAGCGGGAAAGCAGUUACUACAGCAAUGGGAUAACAAUGCAAGUAAGGUCUUAGUUUUCUAGAUGCCAUGAUAAAAGCAAGUUCUAGUUUUUCUAAUUGUGAAUACGUAUCUCUGCAUCAAAUAAAGACUUGCUAACAUAAUAGAUAGGGGAAUGUUUACCUUGGUCCUCCCGGACUAAAACAACACCUACCACAACUUCUGAUACGGAUAGAUAGACAAGUAAUUUUUCCCCUGCCUUUGGCUUUUCCAACAACGGUGGAUUUGACAAGUAUGCUUUCAAAUUUCUAAGCGUUUGUUGACAGUCUUCGUUCCAUUUGAAAUGAUCUUUCUUUUUAAGUGCUGAGAAAAAAUUGGAACACUUUUCUAAGAUUUGGAAAUCAACUUCCCCAUAGCUGCAAUUCUUCCCGUCAGUGAUUGGACCUCGUUUUUACUUGUUAGCAUGUUAGGGAUUUCCUCUAUUGCUUUUAUCUGUGAAGGGUUUACUUCAAUGCCACAGUUAUAAACAAGAAAACCCAAAAAUUUACGUGAUGCGACCCGAAAUGCACAUUUUUCUGGAUUGAGCUUCAUAUUAAAUUUUCGCAAAUUUUGAAACGUUUCAGACAUGUGUAAUAUAUGAUCAUUUGAAUGUUUAGUUUUGAUGAGCAUAUCGUCUCUAUAUACCUCCAUGGUUUUUCCCAAAUGUUCCUGGAAUAUUUUCGUAACCAUCAUUUGAUAGGUUGCCCCUGCAUUUUUUAGACCAAAGGGCAUUACUUUAUAAUAGGUAUGUCCCCCUGUCUGUGAUGAAGGAGGUUUUUUCUUUAUCACUUGGAUCCAUUUUGAUUUGGUUGUAACCUGAAUAUGCAUCUAAAAAACUUAAUAGCUCAUGUCCUGUAGUAGCGUCAAUUAGCUGAUCUAUAUGUGGUAAAGAGAAAGAAUCUUUUGGGCAAGCUUUGUUUAGAUCUGUAUAAUCUACGCAGACUUGCCAUUUACCAUUCUUUUUAGGCACCACAACUGUAUUAGCUAACCAUUUAGGAUACUAUACCUCACGGAUAGACCCGAUUUUUAACAAUUUUUGGACCUCGUCUUGAAUCACUUAAUUUUUGAAAGAUCACUGCUUUCUUUUCUUUUGCUUUACUAGUGUGUACGAUGGGUCUUCAUUUAACUUGUGGGAAAUUACCUCCGGUGGUAUACAUGUCAUAUCAACAUGGGACCAAGAAAAACAUUCCACGUUAGCAUUUAAAAAUUUAACUAACAUACCUGUCAUGCCUGGCUUCAGAUUUUCUCUAACAUAAACCUUCCGCUCGGGCCAUUGUUCAAAUAAGAUAACAGAUUCCAACUCUUUAAUUAUUGUUUUGAUAUUUUCAUUCUUCUCUGGCUCUUGAAUUGUGUUAGGUCUCGAGUCUAUGUCUGUUCGUUCUUGUUUAGUUGAGGUUUGAACUAUGAUGUCCUCAACUGUUCUCAGUGAUUGCUAUUUCUCUUCAUUUACGUGCUCGCAUCUGUCACAACAUUAAUAUUCCUGGCUAAAUGUUGAUCUCCCGAAUUUGGAAAAUUCACCAAGGUGAUGGGAAUUUAAUAACUUGAUGUUGAGUUGAUGGGACAACAUCCAUUUCAUGGAUCCAUGGUCUCCCCAGGAUCAUGUUAUAAGCCAUUUCCAUAUCUACUACUUGAAAUUUAGUUUCUUUAGUAACACUUUCUGCAAAAGUUGUUAGUAUUACCUCUCCUUUUGUUACCAUGCUAGAAUUAUCGAAUCUAGACAAGGUAUGCGCCUUUGGAAUCAUUUUUUCCUCAGCUUGCAUUUCACGCAAUACCCUUAGCAGGAUAAUAUUUACAAAACUCCCUGGAUCAAUCAAAACUCGUUUUACAUUAGUAUCAUAUACAAGUAGAGAUAUUACCAGUGCGUCAUUAUGUGGAGAUAAUACACCAUCUAUAUCUGCAUCAUCGAAGGUAAUACUUUCUUCCAAGACUUAUCAUACCUGCUUCCCCGUGGGUGAUAGUGACUUUAGAAACUUUAUUAGAUGCUAUAUACAUUACACAACUGAUAUCUUCUCCCCCGUUUAUGACGUUGAAAGUUCUUUUGGGAGAUGGUGGUUUUGGGGAACCUACCUGUUUUUCAUGUAAGCUUCCUUGCUUUUUUCACUAAAUAACUUAGUGAGAUACCCUUACUUCAACAAAUGAUCAACUUCACUUUGUAAAAAUCUGCACUCAAAUGUUUUGUGGCCAUGAUCAUUAUGAAAUUCGUACCAAUGGUCAGGGUUACGCCGGUUUGGAUUUGACCUCAUAUCUUUUGGCCAUCGGACCUUAUCUCCCAUGCUCCUCAAAACAGAUACGAGCUCGGAGGUAGUGACAUCGAAAUUAUAGCCACUGAAUCUCGCCUUUAAACUUCUGUCAUCAUCUCGUGACUCUUGUUUGUUUCGCUCGUUCCUAAAUCUAGAUGAGGAACUUGAAUCGUUGUUUCUAGAUUUGUGAUCGUACCUUUGAUUAUCCGAUCUUGACUGUGAGUCUUUUCUCGCGUUCCCAUGUAUGGCUCGUACCUAUUUUUACCGGACCUGCUUUCAUUUUCAGCACGUCUCUAACUUACUUUUUCCUCUUUUUGAAAUUUUGGAAUGGUAUCAUCUUCAAUACGCAGCUUUGUGUUGUACCUGUUAUGAACAUCAUUCUAUGUUGUAAUUGGGAAUUCUCGAAGGAUUUCCUUGAGUCUUCUCAUGGCCUCCGUACUUCUUUAAUUCAAAUUACUCGUGAAUACUAUAGCUGCCCAAUUGUCAGGUACACGCAGUAAAGUUAUUCUUUCACGUUGAAAUUUGUCAACGAAAUCUCGAAGUAAUUUUAAAUCUCCUUACUUGAUUUUGAAGAUAUCUUCCAUUAUUUUCUCUACCUUUUGAGCUCCCGAAUGUACUUUAAUGAAAUAAUCUUCAAGCUCACCAAAAGAGUUUAUAAAAUUUUCGGGUAAGAGAGAAUAUCAAGAUAACGCCCCUUUGGUGAGUGUUUCACCAAAUUUUUUGACUACAACUGAUCCAAUCUCUUGUUUUGGCAAAUCAUUUCCCUUCACACCAAUUGUAAAUGUCGUCACGUGGUCUCGUGGGUUUGUUGUUCCAUCAUACUUGAAAGUACAAGAGGGGGGUGAAUUGUAGCCUUUUUAAAUUUUUAGUCGACUACUCUCUAGAUCUAGUCGACUACUAUUUAGAACUAGUCGACUUAUGUGGAGACAACCUGCACAGAACUGUUAGUCCUUCGGAUUUAAACAAGUGUUAAUCACAAUAAAUAGUAAAAGAAUAGAAAAUAGCAUAAGAGCAAUAAAGUAAAUGACACCAGGACUUUUAUACUAGUUCGGAACCAAUGUGGUCUUCUAAUCCAGUCUCCUUGGGUUGCAAGGAUGUUAUCUCUUGAGCUCUUUGUAAUAUGUGUUGAGUACAUCGUGUGUGAUUUUCAAUGUUCACCACCAACGUUUACAGGGUUGGUUUUUCACUCGCUCACCAACAACGACCCUUUGGUUUUCCGCUCACCAAAGAAACGAACAAUGACACAACCUCUCCGGACACACUGCCUCUCCAAUUUUUCUAUUUCUCUUCUCUCUUUUGUGUACACAGUAAAUCUACUAAAGUGAAUUACAAUGCUUGUUAAGAGUAGAAUAAAGAACUUGUAGUUGGAUAGACAAUUUGUAUAGAAGGCUGCGUAAAUUUUUUCGUCUUUGAUCGCUCCUUCUUAUACUAUUUUUGAAUCCUUCUAGUUGUUAUGCUUCAUAAAUGCAGUAGCAUUUUUGUGAUCUUGUGGCCUGCUUGAUUUAUGCAAAUUGAUACUUUCUUUAACGUUUCAUUCUUGCUUUUGACAGCUUGCACUUCCUUGUCCAUGUUCGUUUGCCUUUUAUAUCUAAAGAUGAUUAAAUAUGUCCAGAAAGAUAGUUUCAUAAAGAAGCCCUUCACAUGCUUUUAAAUAAUACAAAGAAUUACUUUCAGAUCUUGCACUUCAAUGAUCAGUAGAGAUUUGAGAUCAUUUCCCUUACAAUUCCUUAAUCUUGGACCUUUAAAAAUAUCAUUCCUUUUAUAACAAUAUUUUCUUUGUAGGCCCUUGCAAGAUCUUUCUCCAUGUGCUAUUUCAAAACCCAAAGUUUCCUUAGUACCGUUGCAAGAUUGUAUUUAAUCAUGUCAAGUCUUCUUUUAGAAUCCUUGAUUUUUGCCGACUUGUCUCCUAAAAGUGGACUUGAAAAUCUUCCAGUGUAUCAUUACAUCUUUUGUCAAAAGAUGUUUUCUUUUUAAAAGGUGCUAUUUAAAUCUCAAACUUCAAUGCCAUAAAGUCUUUAUCAAGUAUCCUCUGUGAUUGAUUUUUAUUUGUGGCUUUCAUUCCGGAUAUGAUAAUUCUUUAUAGUCACUGCCGAUCAACUUCUUCUACCAAUCCAUGAAAUAUUCGGUACAAAUAUUCUUGCCAAUAAGAUCUACUUCUUCCUUUUAUAUCUUUGACUCCUUUCUUGAAAAAUAAUCUCUUUCCAUACUAUAGAAUAUGAUAUACUCAUAAUAUAUUUCUUUCCAUAUAAAAUAUAUUCUUCCUUGGCCUUGAAAAUAGAAUAUACUAUACUCAUAAUAUAUUUUCUUUCCAUAUAAAUAUAUUCUUCUCCCAUUAUAUAGAAAAUAUUCCCUUCUUGAUCUUUGAGAAUAAUAUCUUUCCAUAAUAUAAAUUUUACUACACCAUAAUAUAUUUUCUUUCCAUAGAAAAUAUAUUCUUUUUUGGCCUUGAAAAAUCUUUCUUCUAUAAAAUAAUAUAUCUUCUCCAUAAUUUUAGCAACUUUCCUUGAAAAACUUUCCUUCCAUAAUUUCCAUAGAUUCUUCUUCCAAUAUUGUAGUAAGUCAUCCAAUAUUUGAAACUUGACUUUCAAAUAUUAUUCCUUCUAUGAUGCUUGCAGAUUAACUCNNNNNNNNNNNNNNNNNNNNNNNNNNNNNNNNNNNNNNNNNNNNNNNNNNNNNNNNNNNNNNNNNNNNNNNNNNNNNNNNNNNNNNNNNNNNNNNNNNNNNNNNNNNNNNNNNNNNNNNNNNNNNNNNNNNNNNNNNNNNNNNNNNNNNNNNNNNNNNNNNNNNNNNNNNNNNNNNNNNNNAUAAGAUUACCACAAGUAAGUGUUCUUUGAUUAAUAAUUAUGUUGGUUUGUUAUCAUCAAAAUUAAUACGUGAAACCUUCAAGCUAACAAUACUUUGGGACAUCACGCAUUUUGAAUUUAUUUGGAAUUGGGAGGGGGGCAACACUUGGCUUCCACGGUUGUUGUGAAUAUUUAUCCAUAUCUACUCCUUUGGUUAUAGGUGGAAUUCUGGGGAUUUGCUCUAUACGAUCAUUUUGUUCCUUGAACUGCUUCUGCAGGGUUAGUAAUAAAUUUUGCAAAUGAGAAUUAGUUGAAUUACCUGGUUCCCCUUCGUGUGAUUCACUUGGGGUUCCUCCAUUUUCAGAAUUAAUAAGCCCAGAACGGGGAUUCUCCAAUGCAUUGUUAUUGUGUGUAGGUAUGGGUGGUGCAGCAGGUAAUCAACUAACUAGAGCCUGAAGAGCUUUGUUAACCCAUGCAUCAAUUACUUUUCGUAAGGCCUCAUCUCCCCCAUCGAAAUGUUCAGAUUGCUCCUCAUCACCAGCACUAGACUUAGGAGUGCCCUCAAUAGAUUGUCGUAGUGAAUCAUGCGGGGAAGGAACCAGGUGAAUAUUUUGUAAAUCCCUUUGAUCUUGUUGGGUUUGAUUUUCCUGGUUUCCCAACGUGUUGUCAUUGUCGUUGCCAUAGUAGAAGGAAAUUGAUUAUCAGAUUCCAGUAACGGAACCAAUUUAUUUAAACAGAAAAUUGGGACUUUGGUCAAAGCUAGAAAUUAAGAAGAAUACGGGUUAUUGAUAAUCAAGAAAUAUAAUAAGAAAAGACUUUGAAAGCAAAUAGAAAGCAAAGAAAUCAGAUUGUAUUUCAAUAGUAUCUCAAUUGUAUUUUCCGUGUCCACAAAUGUUCUAACUCCCUACUUUUAUAGUAAAAUUUAGGAAAAUGUAUAUUGUCUUUGUCUUAAUGAGGCGAUUAUGAGCAAUAAAUGACAUUAAAAGAAAUGUUACUCAAUCAUUUACAUUAAAUAUAAAUUCUCUAAUGUAUUUGACAUUUAAUAAUGAAUUUGGCCCUUUCUGUGCUGUCAUAUUCAUUUUCUUGAUUCUUUUUGAUCCUCGAGCUUUAAAUGACUUGAAUAUGUAUGAACUUCAUGUUAUCUGAAUAACAACUCGUGCCUCCUUAAGUAUCUUCUCCCCGUAUCUGUUGUUGCUCGUGCCUCGUGGCUAAUUAUAAUGUUUUGACCAUUUGACUAAUACAUGUGUCACGACACGUCACCUUCAACAUGUAAAUUCAGUUUUUUGCCCAAUACAAUGGCUACUAUCAUUCUGAUCAUUUAUCAUGAUUUAUGCAGGAAAAGAUGAUCCACCAGAUAGUUUAUAAGAAAGUGCCACCAUGACAAACUAGUUUCGCAGUUUCAUAUAAGGGGAUGACCUACUCAGUUAAAUGUUGUUACUAAAAGUUUAGUAUAUUCAAAUGAAAGCAGGUACAAAAAUAAAAACAAAAUUGACUUUUUCAAGAACCUGUAUAUACGUUUAAACUAACGUAGGUUCCCAAAUGUUAUUUUGAUUGUAUAUUGACGAGAACAUAUUUGUAAGUAAGCGG